rnacentral:misc_RNA from 1 species
AUAAAUAUGAUUGCUUUCAUAAUCCUUUCACAUAAACCUGUGCACAAUCACGCGCAUGAAACUAAUCCAUUUAGCAUUUAGAAUAUAGAAUUUAUGAUGAUGAAUGCAAUUCCUUUCAAAUUUGUUGAAACAUAAUGCAUAACCAUAUGGAAAGGGGAUUUUUUCACUUUCUGUUUGCAUAGAGUAGUUAAGCCAUCACUUUUGCUCAUUGAGAUGCUUUUCCUUGAUGCAGAUUGUGGCUUUCUCCUUGAUUUGA